UACGAAGGGGGCUAGCGUUGCUCGGAAUCACUGGGCGUAAAGGGUGCGUAGGCGGGUCUUUUAAGUCAGGGGUGAAAUCCUGGAGCUCAACUCCAGAACUGCCUUUGAUACUGAGGAUCUUGAGUUCGGGAGAGGUGAGUGGAACUGCGAGUGUAGAGGUGAAAUUCGUAGAUAUUCGCAAGUACACCAGUGGCGAAGGCGGCUCACUGGCCCGAUACUGACGCUGAGGCACGAAAGCGUGGGGAGCAAACAGG
rnacentral:rRNA from 1 species